rnacentral:rRNA from 1 species
AUUGAACGCUGGCGGCAUGCCUUACACAUGCAAGUCGAACGGUAACAGGUCUUCGGAUGCUGACGAGUGGCGAACGGGUGAGUAAUACAUCGGAACGUGCCCGAGAGUGGGGGAUAACGAGGCGAAAGCUUUGCUAAUACCGCAUACGAUCUCAGGAUGAAAGCAGGGGACCGCAAGGCCUUGCGCUCACGGAGCGGCCGAUGGCAGAUUAGGUAGUUGGUGGGAUAAAAGCUUACCAAGCCGACGAUCUGUAGCUGGUCUGAGAGGACGACCAGCCACACUGGGACGGAGACACGGCCCAGACUCCUACGGGAGGCAGCAGUGGGUAAUUUUGGACAAUGGGCGCAAGCCUGAUCCAGCCAUGCCGCGUGCAGGAUGAAGGCCUUCGGGUUGUAAACUGCUUUUGUACGGAACGAAAAGACUCUGGUUAAUACCUGGGGUCCAUGACGGUACCGUAAGAAUAAGCACCGGCUAACUACGUGCCAGCAGCCGCCGUAACAC